rnacentral:rRNA from 1 species
GAUGAACGCUGGCGGCGUGCCUAAUACAUGCAAGUCGAGCGAAUGGAUUAAGAGCUUGCCCUUAUGAAGUUAGCGGCGGACGGGUGAGUAACACGUGGAUAACCUGCCCAUAAGACUGGGAUAACUCCGGGAAACCGGGGCUAAUACCGGAUAACAUUUUGAACCGCAUGGUUCGAAAUUGAAAGGCGGCUUCGGCUGUCACUUAUGGAUGGAGCCGCGUCGCAUUAGCCAGUUGGUGAGGUAACGGCUCACCAAGGCAACGAUGCGUAGCCGACCUGAGAGGGUGAUCGGCCACACUGGGACUGAGACACGGCCCAGACUCCUACGGGAGGCAGCAGUAGGGAAUCUUCCGCAAUGGACGAAAGUCUGACGGAGCAACGCCGCGUGAGUGAUGAAGGCUUUCGGGUCGUAAAACUCUGUUGUUAGGAAAGAACAAGUGCUAGUUGAAUAAGCUGGCACCUUGACGGUACCUAACCAGAAAGCCACGGCUAACUACGUGCCAGCCGCCGCAGUAA